GCUGCACGGGCAUUUCUCGUUGAAUCGCCGGAGCCAUGUGAUGCUGUGCCAGAAUUCGGCGCUGCAACAGUUUGAAACGCGACUUAUGGAGUGGCUCGAAGCAUUGAAACUGUCUGGCGAGGUCCAGGGGUUUUUGAGUGUAAACUGGCUGCUCCAAGCCAUGUCCGUUGUCCUGGCAACGCACACAAACUUAGGAAGGCUCAUCCCUGAUUCAGAGUUGUCCUUGUGUCAAGGAACUGAUAAGUGGAUUGAGGAUUACCUUGAUGAUAAUGCGAAGCUUCUGGAUGUAUGCAAUGUGUUGAGAGAUGGAAUUGCAGAUGUCGAGAAUUAUCAGACACUGGUGCAGCUUGCCCUCCAUAAUGUUGACAACAGAACUGAGAGCUGCAGCGAGGGGAAGUACUAUAGGGC
rnacentral:lncRNA from 1 species